AUCUUGUUUUCUAUUUCUUUCAGUGUUUAUUGACAGUUUUAUUUAAAACUGUCUAUGGUGAUAAAAUUUCACAAUAUAACCACAACAAUUUUUCUGUCGAUUCACAAGCAUCACUGUCACAUUGUUUUAUGUCAAUGUCAGUAAGCCCGGCGACGAGACAAAGUUUAUAACACUGUUCAGUAUAAUUGGCCGUUUGCCUUAAAGCCUCAAAAAAAGCUACAAAAACAUCACAAAAUUCGACAGCAAAUGUUUAUUAAAAUAACAAAAUAUAAACCAUUAAAUAAAUAGCUCAAUCGAUGGCUAAAAUAAAUGUAUAAACAAAAUUUGUGAGUGGAAUAUCUAUCUAUGUAACCGCCUGGCUAAAGCUAAAAUAAACUUUAAAAUACACACAAAUAAAAACAGCCUUGAAUUUUAUAUAUAAAUAAAAUAAAUAAAUAAA